GUACAUGUGGCCGUGGGGGACUGUGUGUGUGCGGGCGGUGGCAGGAGCGUGUGCAUGAGUGUGUGUGUGGGAGGGGUGGUAGGCAAAGGGAGCACAGGGAGGCCAGGAAGGAGACGACGACAACAGUCUGGAGAGAUGGCCAGCUCAGCCCUGGUCUCAGGAGCAGACUGGUCUCAGGAGAUGAGGGGCUGGGAGGCGGCUGAAUUCUAGACGUUUCUUCAGGCGGGCUGCGCUGAUGGACGGGAUGCAAGGCGGCCGCGGAGUCGGGGCUGAGUGGCCGUGGUGGGUGAUGGGUGGCUGCUGAUUCCUGGUAUACUCUGAAGGGACAGCCAACGGGAUUUCCUGACUGUUUUUCUGAUGUGAGGGGUGACAGCCAGUCUGUGAAGGGCACAAAGGCCCCCAGCCAAGGGGGCAACUGGGGGUGAAAAUCCAACCCAAGCUCCACUUGCCAGGCGGCAAGCCUGUGUGACAGCUGGAGGAAAGGCGCCUAUGAGAUGUCUGAGUUGCAUCACAGGCUACACUGCGGUCUGUAUACCCAUGCCCUGCCUUUCUGGAGCAGUGUGGACCUCCCAUUUACUGAGCAUCCAACGUGCCAAGGACGGUGCUGGCCCUUACACAGCUUGUUUGGUCCUCACAACGCAUUAUUAUCAACAUCAUGUAGAAGAUGGCCCUGAGCCUCAGAGAGGUGCAGCAAGUUGUCCAAGAUCACACAGCUGGGACGGGGGAACAUGGACAGAACCCCGAUGUGCCCCACUCUAGAGUCAGGACUCCGCACAUGCUCUGUUGGUUCAGUGACUCAGCAAAAAAAAAGCAAAAGCUCCGUCCCAAGUAGGGACGUGCCCACCCACCCGCCUCCCUCCCACAGGGCAAAGAUGCCAAACCGGCAACAAGGACAUGAACAACUGGAGGCCGGGGGAAUGGCAGGUGUUUAACUGGUUAACUCAGAGUUAACAGAUGACCCUUUCUGUUUCAACUCUGACGGACUGGACACCUUUCUGAAACGCCCUUGUCCCCUCGCCUGCCCUGGCUAGCACGGUGUGAGGAGACGAUUUCAUGCUAGGACGCAGCCCGAGGCCUUCCACAGGGCCCCAGAUCUAAGAGGACCCCCUGAGCGUGUCCUGACCCCAGGAACGACCCUGCGUGUUCCUCUCUUAACUGAAAUGGAAUCAGCUUGUUUUCUUUCUUCUGUCUCUUUCCUACUCGAGGAAUAAAAAAAAAAUCCUGCAGUGAUUUCAGUUUCGUUUUUCUGAGCUCUGGUUGCAGCGAGCGAGUGUUCCAUGUCUAAGGAACUGAAGAAGCACAAGCCGUAGAGCCUGGGGUACUGUCUCUGAGAACAUGCUCAGUGCAGGAAUCACAACAAAAAUAACAACGCAAAAGCUGGAGCAGCGGAAACCACACGCAAGGCUUUUCUUUUGCGCCAGGCAGUGCUGUUCCACUGCGUUCUCAAGGAAGAAGGAACCAGUCCUCGGAGUCCAGGAAACUGCCUGCGGGUCCUCGGCUCGCGAGCGCGGGAGAGCGCGGAUGCCAACCCAGGUCUGACUCCCAGCUCGUGACAGGUGAAGGGGUCUUAUCCUUUCCGAAUUCAACAAAACGAAAAUGAAACCUCCUAGAAAUCAAUAAAAGCCACACACCUCCGUGGAAAAAUCAGUACAGAAUACGAACAGGAAACAGUAUCUGGGAUGCACUCCACCUGAAAAGAAACCAAGAAAGAUGGUUCAAUCCAGCCUCUCCAUCCUUCUGGCUCAGCCAGGGUGCGGCCAGGGCCUGGACCAGGAAAGCCCAGGGCCGCUGACCCCGAGCACAGGAAGCGGACUCCUGACGAUGCCACAGAUCGUCUGCCCCCGACUCCUGGGCGAGCCUGGCCUGAGCUGCCAGGGGUCAGAGCACGAUGACCAGCACAACUGCCAGGCUGGGCCCUGGGGCUGUUCCUGCCUAGGACGGCCCAGGCCUCCACAGCCCCACCCCGCACUCCACACGACGGCAGGCCGCUGAGGGGCCGCACCCAGGCCACGAAGGCGGGAAGGGCUGGACAGUGAAUGAGGGCUUGGUUGUCCAACGUGGAGGUGUCAGGGCUGGGGACCACUCCCCAACAGUCACCGCAGCCUCACAGUGCAUCUGCCUCUGCUC
rnacentral:lncRNA from 1 species